AAUUUGACUUUGAAAAGAUGAGUAGCAAUUAAUUUUCAUUAGCAGAGAACCUGGAAUAGCUGCAAACAGGUAUGAAAAUUUUUGGUGAAUAUGGUCUUCGAGUUAUUGAAAAGCAAGCUUGGGUGAGCUUUUCAUGGGAUGCCCAUUACAGCACACGAGUAUGUUAGUACUUGGUGAGGAUAAGAUUAUGAGAUCUUAUUGAAUUUGGGUGGUAUCACGGAGAUUUUCGUCCCUUUU
rnacentral:ncRNA from 1 species